UACGGAGGAUGCGAGCGUUAUCCGGAUUUAUUGGGUUUAAAGGGUGCGUAGGCUGGCGCUCAAGUCAGGGGUGAAAUCCCGGAGCCUAACUCCGGAACUGCCCUUGAUACUGUGUGUCUUGAAUUCGGAUGCCGUGGGAGGAAUGAGUAGUGUAGCGGUGAAAUGCAUAGAUAUUACUCAGAACACCGAUUGCGAAGGCAUCUCACGAAUCCGAGAUUGACGCUGAGGCACGAAAGCGUGGGGAU
rnacentral:rRNA from 1 species